GAGCAUGUGUGGAUGUUUCCGGUUGAAAUAAGCAUGCCUGCCGACAUGGGAAUGAUGAAAAGACGGAAAGCUUAAUGGCUGCUGGUGGCACGCGUCGCGUUACCUGAUUCUCCUUGGACGGGGGUACUUAACCGACGAUACUUCCAGCGCAAACCAUUCUCCCGGAUUGAUUCCUUGGCUUUCCCCUCCCCUCGGCUCCCCUCCCUUCCAUAAUCCCUCCAUUUAACCCCUCCGUUUGCUUCGCUCUGCCUGCCUCAUCCUCGUGCUUAAGCUUCUUGCCAUCAGCUGGGAAAGAUAUCUCGAGCAGAGCAGCAGGAGGAGCCACAGCUUCAGCCUUCAGGUCGCACACAUAUACGCGGCGCGUCGGAGGACCAGCCGGCAAGAUGCAGAUGGUACUGAUAAUCUCGCUGCCCCUCGUGGCGCUGGUGGUGAUCAUCGCCAUCAUCCUCUGCAUCGUCUGCCGUUAACCAGCCAGACAGCUCGCGCGCGGCUCGCCUCGCCGGAUGUUGCAUCAUGUAGCCUCGUAGUAGUGUUGUUGCUGCGUCUGUCUCAUACUGCCGUCGUGUAUUUUGUCUGCAGCCCUGCUCGGUGUGUCGUCUUUAUCCCCUGUUCUCCUACUAGCUUCUCAACGUGAAAUGUACUAUUGAUUGAUCAAUGUGUGUGUCUGUUCGUGUGUGUGCGGAUGUCAGUACAGUGCAUACUGCCGUGUAAUGUAAGCUCUUGACUUUGUAGCAAAAAAAUGUAAGCUCCUGACGAAUUCUUCUGA